UGGGGAAUAUUGGACAAUGGGCGCAAGCCUGAUCCAGCCAUGCCGCGUGAGUGAUGAAGGCCCUAGGGUUGUAAAGCUCUUUCACCGGUGAAGAUAAUGACGGUAACCGGAGAAGAAGCCCCGGCUAACUUCGUGCCAGCAGCCGCGGUAAUACGAAGGGGGCUAGCGUUGUUCGGAUUUACUGGGCGUAAAGCGCACGUAGGCGGACUUUUAAGUCAGGGGUGAAAUCCCGGGGCUCAACCCCGGAACUGCCUUUGAUACUGGAAGUCUUGAGUAUGGUAGAGGUGAGUGGAAUUCCGAGUGUAGAGGUGAAAUUCGUAGAUAUUCGGAGGGACACCAGUGGCGAAGGCGGCUCACUGGACCAUUACUGACGCUGAGGUGCGAAAGCGUGGGGAGCAAACA
rnacentral:rRNA from 2 species